GACUAUCACGAGAACAACGUUUCACAAAGACUAUUUUCACACUACAAAACCAAAAAAAAGAAGAUCGGAGAGCAGAGGCGAAGGGGUAAGGUUUUUUCAAGUGAUAGUAAGUAAAAUUAAUAUUUAAAUAUUAUAUAAUAGCUGAAAUUUUCACUGUAUUUUAAAAAGUUUUUCAAAUACUAUAUCUAUGUAUUUUUUUUUCUUUGUUUUUUCCCCAUAUUUCACUAACUAUAAUUAUGUGCGAGCAACA
rnacentral:lncRNA from 1 species